CACAAAGUUGCUUCCACAAAUAUAAUUAUUCAUUAAUUUCAUUAAUAAUUCAUUUCUACUAUUAAGUCUAUUAUUUACGCUGUUUCUUUGAUUAUCUUCAAUCUCAAAGGAUCAUGGCUAUCGAAUACCUUGCUUGGGAUGUAUUCGUUCUUGAGGAAAGAUUACGUCGACUCGAACGUCGUGUGGAAAGAAGGCGACUGAGAGAUGCUCAGAAUCCGUUUCAGCUACCACGAGAAGAGUUUCUCAGCCUUUUUCGCCUGCCUCAAGAAGCUGUGAUGAAUCUUGGUUAACACCUUAAGCGCAGUCAAAGCGAAAAUAUUUUUCACUGUUCAGCAAAGCAGCAUAGGUGAUGCUGGAUAUCCAUUGGAGCCUUGGCUGUCAACACCUCUGGCCAAUUUUUCUGAAGAUACGCGACAACAUCAAUAUACACAACAACUAUGUAAGGCUAGAAGCGUCGUCGAGCGGUUUUUUGGAGUUUUUAAAUCUGUAUGGAGAUGCUUGUCAUACCAGCAAGUCUUGAUGUACGAACCAGCGUUCGCAGCAAAAAUUGAUAAUGCGUGUGCAGUACUGCACAACAUGAGAGUGCAACUACGAUUAAACAAUGAAGAUGACGAACAACUAGCACCGAUAGCUCAUCCCGUAGAGAAUGAUGUUGAUCCGAUGGAUCAAGAUGAAGAAUACACCAGACGAGGACCACGCGCUUUGGCUCAACGAAUUC